rnacentral:rRNA from 1 species
UACGGGGGGGGGCAAGCGUUGUUCGGAAUUACUGGGCGUAAAGGGCUCGUAGGCGGCCAACUAAGUCGGACGUGAAAUCCCUCGGCUUAACCGGGGAACUGCUUCCGAUACUGGAUGGCUUGAGUGUGGGAGAGGGAUGCGGAAUUCCAGGUGUAGCGGUGAAAUGCGUAGAUAUCUGGAGGAAUACCGGUGGCGAAGGCGGCAUUCUGGACCAUUACUGACACUGAAUCGCGAAAGCUAGGGGAGCAAACGGG